CCUACGGUGUGCAGCAGUGGGGAAUAUUGGUCAAUGGGGGAAACCCUGAACCAGCAACGCCGCGUGAGGGAAGACGGUUUUAGGAUUGUAAACCUCUGUCCUCUGUGAAGCUAAUGACGGUAGAAGAGGAGGAAGCUCCGGCGAACUACGUGCCAGCAGCCGCGGUAAUACGUAGGGAGCAAGCGUUGUCCGGAUUUACUGGGUGUAAAGGGUGCGUAGGCGGCCUUGCAAGUCACAAGUGAAAUCCAUGGGCUUAACCCGUGGAGUGCUUUUGAAACUGUAGGGCUUGAGUGAAGUAGAGGCAGGCGGAAUUCCCGGUGUAGCGGUGAAAUGCGUAGAGAUCGGGAGGAACACCAGUGGCGAAGGCGGCCUGCUGGGCUUUAACUGACGCUGAAGCACGAAAGCGUGGGUAGCAAACAGGAUUAGAUACCCGGGUAGUC
rnacentral:rRNA from 1 species